GAUGAACGCUGGCGGCGUGCCUAAUACAUGCAAGUCGAGCGAACAGACGAGGAGCUUGCUCCUCUGACGUUAGCGGCGGACGGGUGAGUAACACGUGGAUAACCUACCUAUAAGACUGGGAUAACUUCGGGAAACCGGAGCUAAUACCGGAUAAUAUAUUGAACCGCAUGGUUCAAUAGUGAAAGACGGUUUUGCUGUCACUUAUAGAUGGAUCCGCGCCGCAUUAGCUAGUUGGUAAGGUAACGGCUUACCAAGGCAACGAUGCGUAGCCGACCUGAGAGGGUGAUCGGCCACACUGGAACUGAGACACGGUCCAGACUCCUACGGGAGGCAGCAGUAGGGAAUCUUCCGCAAUGGGCGAAAGCUUGACGGAGCAACGCCGCGUGAGUGAUGAAGGUCUUCGCAUCGUAAAACUCUGUUAUUAGGGAAGAACAAAUGUGUAAGUAACUAUGCACGUCUUGACGGUACCUAAUCAGAAAGCCACGGCUAACUACGUG
rnacentral:rRNA from 1 species